UCUGAAGUGGCUCAGUGGUAAAGAAUCUGCCUGCCAAGCAGGAGACACAGGUUCAAUACCUGGUCCAGGA
rnacentral:tRNA from 1 species